rnacentral:rRNA from 1 species
GACGAACGCUGGCGGCGUGCUUAACACAUGCAAGUCGAACGGAAAGGCCCUGCUUUUGUGGGGUGCUCGAGUGGCGAACGGGUGAGUAACACGUGAGUAACCUGCCCUUGACUUUGGGAUAACUUCAGGAAACUGGGGCUAAUACCGGAUAGGAGCUCCUGCUGCAUGGUGGGGGUUGGAAAGUUUCGGCGGUUGGGGAUGGACUAGCGGCCUAUCAGCUUGUUGGUGGGGUAGUGGCUUACCAAGGCUUUGACGGGUAGCCGGCCUGAGAGGGUGACCGGCCACAUUGGGACUGAGAUACGGCGCAGACUCCUACGGUAGGCAGCAGUGGAGAAUAUUGCACAAUGGGCGGAAGCCUGAUACAGCAACGCCGCGUGCGUGAUGACGUCCUUCGGGUUGUAAACCGCUUUCGCCGGUGACGAGGCGUGAGUGACGGUAAUGGGUAAAGAAGCACCGGCUAACUACGUG